UAAUACCGGCGGCUCGAGUGGUGGCCACUAUUACUGGGCUUAAAGCGUUCGUAGCUGGUUUGUUAAGUCUCUGGGGAAAUCUGCCGGCUCAACCGGCAGGCGUUCCAGGGAUACUGGCAGACUAGGGACCGGGAGAGGUGAGGGGUACUCCAGGGGUAGGAGUGAAAUCCUGUAAUCCUUGGGGGACCACCUGUGGCGAAGGCGCCUCACCAGAACGGCUCCGACAGUGAGGGACGAAAGCUGGGGGAGCAAACCGGAUUAGAUACCCGGGUAGUCCCAGCCGUAAACGAUGCGCGUUAGGUGUAUCGGUGACCACGAGUCACCGAGGUGCCGAAGAGAAAUCGUGAAACGUGCCGCCUGGGAAGUACGGUCGCAAGGCUGAAACUUAAAGGAAUUGACGG
rnacentral:rRNA from 1 species